rnacentral:rRNA from 1 species
UACGUAGGGUGCGAGCGUUGUCCGGAAUUAUUGGGCGUAAAGGGCUCGUAGGCGGUUUGUCGCGUCGGGAGUGAAAUCCACUGGCUUAACUGGUGGCUUGCUUUCGAUACGGGCAGACUGGAGGUAUGCAGGGGAGACUGGAAUUCCUGGUGUAGCGGUGAAAUGCGCAGAUAUCAGGAGGAACACCGAUGGCGAAGGCAGGUCUCUGGGCAUUAACUGACGCUGAGGAGCGAAAGUGUGGGGGAGCGAACAGG